GUGGGGAAUAUUGGACAAUGGGCGAAAGCCUGAUCCAGCCAUGCCGCGUGUGUGAAGAAGGUCUUCGGAUUGUAAAGCACUUUAAGUUGGUAGGAAGGGCAGUAAGUUAAUACCUUGCUGUUUUGACGUUACCGACAGAAUAAGCACCGGCUAACUUCGUGCCAGCAGCCGCGGUAAUACGAAGGGUGCAAGCGUUAAUCGGAAUUACUGGGCGUAAAGCGCGCGUAGGUGGUUUUGUAAGUUGGAGGUGAAAUCCCCGGGCUCAACCUGGGAACUGCCUCCAAAACUGCAUGACUAGAGUACGGUAGAGGGUAGUGGAAUUUCCUGUGUAGCGGUGAAAUGCGUAGAUAUAGGAAGGAACACCAGUGGCGAAGGCGACUACCUGGACUGAUACUGACACUGAGGUGCGAAAGCGUGGGGAGCAAACAGGAUUAGAUACCCCGGUAGUCC
rnacentral:rRNA from 1 species